AUCCAUCUGACGAGUCUCAACUAGGACGAAACAUACGUCCUGGAU
rnacentral:hammerhead_ribozyme from 1 species